GUAAAUGUCAAUCAGGAUAAACCCAAAGAAACCCAUAGCAAGGCAUAUCAUAAUCAAACUGCUGAAAACUAAGAAAAUACAAAACAAUUUUGAAAGCAGCCAAAGGGAAAUGAAAGAGAAACUACCAAAUGAAUGAUUGUAGAUUUCGCAUCAGGAACCAUAGGGGCCAGAAAAAAUGUCAUAACAUUCGGAGACUACGGAAAAGAAGAGUGACUAAGAUCUCUGAAGAAGGGAAAAGCUAGAUGACUGGGCCACAAGAGGAAAAAAAGCAGCAAGACAG
rnacentral:lncRNA from 1 species